rnacentral:rRNA from 1 species
CCUACGGGCGGCUGCAGUGGGGAAUAUUGCACAAUGGGCGCAAGCCUGAUGCAGCCAUGCCGCGUGUGUGAAGAAGGCCUUCGGGUUGUAAAGCACUUUCAGCGGGGAGGAAGGCGGUGAGGUUAAUAACCUCAUCGAUUGACGUUACCCGCAGAAGAAGCACCGGCUAACUCCGUGCCAGCAGCCGCGGUAAUACGGAGGGUGCAAGCGUUAAUCGGAAUUACUGGGCGUAAAGCGCACGCAGGCGGUCUGUCAAGUCGGAUGUGAAAUCCCCGGGCUCAACCUGGGAACUGCAUUCGAAACUGGCAGGCUAGAGUCAUGUAGAGGGGGGUAGAAUUCCAGGUGUAGCGGUGAAAUGCGUAGAGAUCUGGAGGAAUACCGGUGGCGAAGGCGGCCCCCUGGACAAAGACUGACGCUCAGGUGCGAAAGCGUGGGGAGCAAACAGGAUUAGAUACCCGUGUAGUC